UUCACCCAGUCUUCUCUCCUUUACGUGACCCGUGCUCUGUUUGUGUUAUGGUGUGAGUGUGGUGAACUUGUUCUCUAUAUCCAUCUUACUUGAUAUCAAUCACCUGAUUCGCCUUUCUUAUAUCACAUCUAUGAUUAUUAUACCGCUGAGAAAUACGAAGAACUUAACUUAUUAAGACAUAGAGCCCCAAACACUUCGUAGAAUUAGGAAAGAGAACAACAAAGGAAGAGACUAAACAAAAAUGCACCGUAAUCUGUACCCUGCCACCGCGCCAAAGAUCGUGAACGUGCCGGUGGUUAUUGUGAUGGUAGGCUUACCCGCAAGAGGCAAGAGCUUUAUCUCGAGGAAGCUGGCUAGAUAUCUUAACUGGAUUGGGGUAUCAACGAAAGUGUUUAGCCUUGGUGACUAUCGACGUAGGAUGCUGGAAGGUUCUCAGUUUGAUCAUUCAUUCUUUGAUCCUAAUAAUCCAAAUGGCAUGAACAUACGAGAGGAGUGUGCUAAACUGGUGCUGGCGGAUAUAGUCGAGUGGCUUAAAGACAAAGGCAAAGUUGCGAUAUUUGAUGCCACCAACUCUACACGCAAACGUAGGGAGACAAUUAUAGAAAAAUGCCAAAGCUAUGAAUGCAGGGUCAUGUUUUUGGAAUCAGUUGUGGAUGAUCCUGUGAUUGUCAAGUCUAACGUGAUGGCUGUAAAGAUAAGCUCUCCUGAUUAUAAAGGUGUCCAACCAGAGCAGGCGUGUGAGGAUUUCCUAGCACGAAUAGAACACUAUGAGCAAGCAUAUGAGCCACUGUGUAUGGCGAAGGAUCGUCAUGUAUCAUACCUAAAGAUUAUCAAUGGAGGGAAGCAAUUUGUGGCUAAUAAAAUUGAAGGUUAUCUUGAGAGUCGAAUUGUCUACUAUAUGAUGAAUAUCCACAUUACUCCAAAGGCUAUCUACCUAACACGGCAUGGAGAAAGUGAAUAUAAUCUAAAGGGAAGGAUAGGUGGGGAUUCAGAUUUAUCUCACAGAGGCAGAUUGUAUGGAGAGAAACUGGCAGAGUUUAUGGCUGAACAAAAGCUUCAAGAUUUUAGGGUUUGGACAAGUGAAUUCAAGCGCACCAUUCAAACCACAGAGCAUAUCAAAGGAGUGUCUACUGAAAAAUGGGCAGCUUUGAAUGAGAUUGAUGCUGGUGUGUGUGAGGGAAUGACAUACGAAGAGAUACAGGAAAAUUUUCCCGAAGACUUUGCCAAAAGAGAUGAGGACAAAUUUCACUACAGAUAUCGGAGAGGAGAGUCAUAUGAAGAUCUAGUUGCAAGGCUAGAACCAGUGAUCAUGGAACUUGAGAGGCAGCACAAUGUUCUUGUAGUAUGUCACCAGGCAGUAGGCAGAUGCCUACUUGCCUACUUUCUAGACAAGAAUUAUGAAGAGCUUCCAUAUAUCAAAGUUCCAUUGCACAGUGUACUGAAGCUUACAACAGAGGCAUAUGCUCCCAAAUGUCACUCCCGCAAAAGACGCUGGAUCUUUCGGGUGUAAGAUAGAGCAGUUUGAUUUACAUAUCCCGGCAGUCAAUACACACAGGCAGAAACCAGAAGAUGUGUCAGUCAGUCGAGACUCGGCCCAUGCCUUGCAGACCGUACCGGCUCACGAGUAAACUCUUCACUCAUUGGUGAAUGUGAUUUCUUGGUUAUUUAUAAGGUCACAGGGAGGCGGUGAUGGGGACAGAUUAGGGUUUUAAGGUAUUGAGGGGGGGGGGGGGGCAGCUUUUAUUACGGUGUAUGAAUACAAUAUUUUUACCGGAUCGUUGCAUCAUCGGAUGAUGCCUUCUGAUUGUGUAAAAAUGAAAAUAAAACAUACUUUACUGA